GUGCUUGCUUUGGCAGCACACGCACUAAAAUCGGAAUGAUACAGGGAAGAUUAGCGUGGCCUCUGCACAAGGAUGACAUGCAAAUUCAUGAAGCGUUCCAUAUUUUU